rnacentral:rRNA from 1 species
CCUACGGGUGGCAGCAGUGAGGAAUAUUGGUCAAUGGGCGAGAGCCUGAACCAGCCAAGUCGCGUGAAGGAUGAAGGAUCUAUGGUUUGUAAACUUCUUUUAUAUGGGAAUAAAGUGAGGAACGUGUUCCUUUUUGUAUGUACCAUAUGACUAAGGAUCGGCUAACUCCGUGCCAGCAUCCGCGGUAAUACGGAGGAUCCGAGCGUUAUCCGGAUUUAUUGGGUUUAAAGGGAGCGUAGAUGGGUUGUUAAGUCAGCGGUAAAAGCCCGGGGCUAAACCCCGGCGAGCCGUUGAAACUGGCUGUCUUGAGAUGUCGAGAGGUAUGCGGAAUGUGCAGUGUAGCGGUGAAAUGCUUAGAUAUUGCGCAGAACUCCGAUUGCGAAGGCAGCAUACCGGCGGCGAUCUGACGCUGAGGCACGAAAGCGUGGGUAUCGAACAGGAUUAGAUACCCCUGUAGUC